rnacentral:tRNA from 1 species
UCCCUGGUGGUUCACUAGCUAAGACUCUGUGCUCCCAAUGCAAGGGGACCGGGUUCGAUUCCUGGUCAGGGAA